rnacentral:rRNA from 1 species
GACGAACGCUGGCGGCGUGCUUAACACAUGCAAGUCGAACGGAAAGGCCCUGCUUUUGUGGGGUGCUCGAGUGGCGAACGGGUGAGUAACACGUGAGUAACCUGCCCUUGACUUUGGGAUAACUUCAGGAAACUGGGGCUAAUACCGGAUAGGAGCUCCUGCUGCAUGGUGGGGGUUGGAAAGUUUCGGCGGUUGGGGAUGGACUCGCGGCUUAUCAGCUUGUUGGUGGGGUAGUGGCUUACCAAGGCUUUGACGGGUAGCCGGCCUGAGAGGGUGACCGGCCACAUUGGGACUGAGAUACGGCCCAGACUCCUACGGGAGGCAGCAGUGGGGAAUAUGGCACAAUGGGCGGAAGCCUGAUGCAGCAACGCCGCGUGCGGGAUGACGGCCUUCGGGUUGUAAACCGCUUUCGCCUGUGACGAAGCGUGUGUGACGGUAAUGGGUAAAUAAGCACCGGCUAACUACGUG